rnacentral:lncRNA from 1 species
UUACAUCCAGCAAAAAAGUGAAUUCUCUCGUAUGUUUUUGUAACGUGGCUUCUUGGAAAUAGGAGUUUUGUUUGGACCUGUUAGUGGAUGUCACUUUGAUCCUGAUUUGGAGAAUCAAUCAAGAGGACUUUCUGGAGUAGCCUGUUGUGAAAUGAAGAACCUAAUAGGAAAAGCUCAGAAACUGACAGUUAUGUCACAGGUGCUGGAGGAGGAUAUAACCACUCUUGCUGCCUGCCAAAGAGGCCACUGCUUCAGCCUGCUGAUGUUUCCCAACGUCCAGUGUCCUUGGCACUGUGCUGACUCAAUGCUGACAGGAAGAAAAACUAUGGAUAGAGGACAAUGCAGUGUUUCAAGAAGAUUGAAGAGCUUACUGGAAGUACAAGAAACCAAACUGAGCAAGCAGCUCAAGUCUUGGGAGCUGGACUUAUCAGAGAUUAACAGUGGUCAUUCCAAAAUUCAAAUUGUCUUAGCAAGGAGGAAGGAUACUGUUUCUUCAGAAACAUACUAUGGAAGAAAGAAUAAAUCAGGGAAAAGGUGGUGA